UACCUUAUAUGUAAUCACAGCAGUCAGGCGGCGAGUGAUAAAAUCCGUCGUCAAGAGGGAAACAACCCAGACUACCAGCUAAGGUCCCUAAAUCUUACUUAAGUGGAAAACGAUGUGAAGUUACUUAAACAACCAGGAGGUUGGCUUAGAAGCAGCCAUCCUUUAAAGAAAGCGUAAUAGCUCACUGGUCUAGUGAUUUUGCGCGGAAAAUAUAACGGGGCUAAAGUAAGUACCGAAGCUGUAGACUUGCGCACAACUUAGAUUAUUUAAGUUUAGAAUAUGAGAAACUAAGUUAUAUGUUUAGUUAUAUUUUUACUGAUUUUUAUAGAGUAAAGAUAGAAAUAAAACUUAGUAAAAUCAGUAAAAAUAUUCUUAGACUAAAGUUAAGUAGUUUAAGUUGUGUGCAAGUGGUAGGAGAGCGUUCUAUUUGCGUCGAAGGUAUACCGGUAAGGAGUGCUGGAGCGAAUAGAAGUGAGCAUGCAGGCAUGAGUAGCGAUAAUUAAUGUGAGAAUCAUUAACGCCGUAAACCCAAGGUUUCCUACGCGAUGCUCGUCAUCGUAGGGUUAGUCGGGUCCUAAGUCGAGUCCGAAAGGGGUAGACGAUGGCAAAUUGGUUAAUAUUCCAAUACCAACAUUAGUGUGCGAUGGAAGGACGCUUAGGGCUAAGGGGGCUAGCGGAUGGAAGUGCUAGUCUAAGGUCGUAGGAGGUUAUACAGGCAAAUCCGUAUAACAAUACUCCGAGAACUGAAAGGCUUUUUGAAGUCUUCGGAUGGAUAGAAGAACCCCUGAUGCCGUCGAGCCAAGAAAAGUUUCUAAGUUUAGCUAAUGUUGCCCGUACCGUAAACCGACACAGGUGGGUGGGAUGAGUAUUCUAAGGCGCGUGGAAGAACUCUCUUUAAGGAACUCUGCAAAAUAGCACCGUAUCUUCGGUAUAAGGUGUGGUUCGCUUCGUAUUAGGAUUUACUCCGAAAGCGAAGAAACUUACAACAAAGAGUCCCUCCCGACUGUUUACCAAAAACACAGCACUCUGCUAACUCGUAAGAGGAUGUAUAGGGUGUGACGCCUGCCCGGUGCUCGAAGGUUAAUUGAUGGGGUUAGCAUUAGCGAAGCUCUUGAUCGAAGCCCGAGUAAACGGCGGCCGUAACUAUAACGGUCCUAAGGUAGCGAAAUUCCUUGUCGGUUAAAUACCGACCUGCAUGAAUGGCGUAACGAGAUGGGAGCUGUCUCAAAGAGGGAUCCAGUGAAAUUGUAGUGGAGGUGAAAAUUCCUCCUACCCGCGGCAAGACGGAGAGACCCCGUGGACCUUUACUACAGCUUGACACUGCUAUUUGGAUAAGAAUGUGCAGGAUAGGUGGGAGGCUUUGAGUAUAUGACGCCAGUUGUAUAUGAGCCAUUGUUGAGAUACCACUCUUUCUUAUUUGGGUAGCUAACCAGCUUGAGUUAUCCUCAAGUGGGACAAUGUCUGGUGGGUAGUUUGACUGGGGCGGUCGCCUCCCAAAUAAUAACGGAGGCUUACAAAGGUUGGCUCAGAACGGUUGGAAAUCGUUCGUAGAGUAUAAAGGUAUAAGCCAGCUUAACUGCAAGACAUACAAGUCAAGCAGAGACGAAAGUCGGUCUUAGUGAUCCGGUGGUUCUGUGUGGAAGGGCCAUCGCUCAAAGGAUAAAAGGUACCCCGGGGAUAACAGGCUGAUCUCCCCCAAGAGCUCACAUCGACGGGGAGGUUUGGCACCUCGAUGUCGGCUCAUCGCAUCCUGGGGCUGGAGCAGGUCCCAAGGGUAUGGCUGUUCGCCAUUUAAAGCGGUACGCGAGCUGGGUUCAGAACGUCGUGAGACAGUUCGGUCCCUAUCUGCCGUGGGCGUAAGAAGAUUGAAGAGAUUUGACCCUAGUACGAGAGGACCGGGUUGAACAAACCACUGGUGUAGCUGUUGUUCUGCCAAGAGCAUCGCAGCGUAGCUAAGUUUGGAAAGGAUAAACGCUGAAAGCAUCUAAGCGUGAAGCCAACUCUAAGAUGAAUCUUCUCUAAGCUCUCUAGAAGACUACUAGUUUGAUAGGCUGGGUGUGUAAUGGAUGAAAGUCCUUUAGCUGACCAGUACUAAUAGAGCGUUUGGCUUAUCUUUAAUAAAGCAU
rnacentral:rRNA from 1 species